UGAGAAUCAUGGGGGGUCCGUUGAAUCUGAUGAUUUGGAGAGAAUCCCAGAUUGGAAAGAGCAAAUCACGAUCAGAGGGUUGGCUGUGAGUGCUUUGUUAGGAACUUUGUUCUGUAUCAUUACUCACAAGUUGAAUCUAACAGUGGGGAUUAUCCCAUCCUUGAACGUCGCCGCUGGAUUAUUGGGUUUCUUCUUCGUCAAAUCAUGGACAGGGGUUUUGUCCAAAAUCGGAUUCUCAGUUGCACCAUUUACCAAGCAAGAGAACACCGUCAUUCAGACAUGCGUUGUGGCUUGUUACGGCCUGGCCUUCAGUGGAGGAUUUGGUUCUUAUAUAAUUGCCAUGGAUGAGAGAACAUAUAAGUUAAUUGGCACAGAUUAUCCUGGUAAUCGGGCAG
rnacentral:misc_RNA from 1 species